rnacentral:rRNA from 1 species
UACGUAGGGGGCAAGCGUUGUCCGGAUUUAUUGGGCGUAAAGAGCGUGUAGGCGGCCAUGUAGGUCCGUUGUGAAAACUCGAGGCUCAACCUCGAGACGCCGAUGGAAACCAUGUGGCUAGAGUCCGGAAGAGGAGAGUGGAAUUCCUGGUGUAGCGGUGAAAUGCGCAGAUAUCAGGAAGAACACCCGUGGCUAAGACGGCUCUCUAGUACGGUACUGACGCUGAGACGCGAAAGCGUGGGGAGCGAACAGG